AUGGAUUUCAUCGAGGGUCUUCCUAAUUCAGAGGGUGCAAAUUCAAUAUUGGUGGUCGUUGACCGCUUAACAAAGUAUGCUCACUUUCUGCCCUUGCAUCAUCCUUUCACAGCAACUUCAGUGGCCAAAGUUUUCCUGGAUAAUGUGGUGAAACUACAUGGUAUUCCCAAAACCAUUAUCUCUGAUCGUGAUAAGAUCUUCACUAGUAAGUUUUGGAGAAACCUGCUGCAAUCCAUGGGUAUUGAGCUCCACUACAGCACCGCUUACCAUCCGCAAACCGAUGGUCAGAGCGAACGAGUAAAUCAAUGUUUGGAGCAGUAUCUUCGUUGUGCUGUACAAGACAAUCCUCGUCAUUGGCGUCGUUGGCUAUCCAUGGCAGAGUUCUGGUACAAUUCCAGUUUUCAUACUGCUCUUCAAUGCUCACCAUUCCAAGCUUUGUAUCACAUUGCCCCAAAUUUUGGAGGAAUGCCUAACCUUACCGUGUCCAAUGACUCGCCAGCUGCUAGUGUUGUUAUCGACUAUAAGGCACCGACUGAACUUUUGCGUGCUCAGCUGAUACGAGCCCAACAACGCAUGAAGAGCUAUGCUGACAAGAACAGGACUGAACGUCAGUUUCAACCGGGUGAUCAAGUUUUGCUGAAACUCCAACCUUAUGCCCAACAAACAGUGGUCAAUCGUCCAUAUCCCAAAUUAUCCUACAAGUAUUUCGGUCCAUAUACUGUUCUGGAGCGCAUUGGUGCUGUCGCAUACAGACUACAAUUACCAGUUUCAGCUCAGGUACACCCAGUCUUUCAUGUGUCCCAAUUGAAGCCAUUUACUCCAAACUACACUCCUGUGUAUACGGAUAUUCCUGCCGUGCCGGAUUUGACAACAGUAGCACCGGUACCUGUUGCAAUCCUUGAUCGUCGGAUGGUACGCAAGGGCAAUGCAGCAGCACCUCAAGUUCUCAUUCAAUGGGCACAUGUUCCUCCAGAGCGUGCUACCUGGGAGGAUUACUAUGUCGUCAAAAGCAGAUUUCCUGAAGCUCUUCUGUGGGACGAUGAGCAAGCUCAAGCGGGGGGCAAUGUCACGCCUUCCUCCAAUUCGGCGGACAGCGAGUCACCGGCUCCAAACUCCCUGACAAGUGGACCGGCGAACGACGAUGACGUGGACGAUGAAUAG
rnacentral:rRNA from 1 species